rnacentral:lncRNA from 1 species
CCUAUAUGCAGUAACCUGCACCUGGGGACACUGAACAGGUUCUAGAGACAGCCACCAGCCACAACACUGCACACCACAGAGCUACACUCUGAACCCUCUGCCCAAUGUCACCACCCUGCCCUAUCUGACCCGACACCCCAUCUCUGAAAGCAGCUGCCUCCAUCUUGGGACACCUUUGUCACCAUCUUUAGUUGGAGCAACUCCCAGCCUAGGACACCGGCUGGGGCCUAGAAGCAAUAUCAAGGGGACUAUGGAGUCCCCAACUCCCCCUUCCCCAGCAGCCACUAACCCGGCACAGGGAUUGAUUGCAGCUAUGGGGCCAGUCUGUAGCUUGCAAAGCCUGGCCUUGAACUGCCCAAUACAAACAGCUCUCCUUGACAGGUGGGCAGCUCCCAGAGCACAGUCCAAAAGAACUCUGGAGAGAGAGGUUCCUGAUUGCAAAGUAGAGAGGGAGGGGGUGAGACACAGUUUAGAGACUAAAUUAGAGACCAGGAACUGUGAGGGCUACAGGUGAUACAAGGAGAUAAGAACAGGUCCCACAUCACACAGGGGCCCCAAAGGAGAUCCUUGGGGUGCAGUCUCCCACUGGGGACCAGCAAGUGCUAUUCCCCACAUCUGACCACCCCUCCCACCCUAACAACCUUCACCAUCUUGAGGGUGGAGAUACUAGCAAACAACAGACAACCCCACCUAUUGGAUGAGAAGGGAAGCAGGAAAGAUACUGAACUCCAACAAAAGCAAUCCUUGUAUUUUCCUUUUUUCUCUCUUUCUUCUCCCACCUUCACAUCACCAAGAUUAGUGAAACCAAGUAUUCUUCAUGAAUUAGGUUACAGAGGACUGGGAUGUCUGAAUAGUAUAUUACAGCUGUAUUGUGUAUUCUUUUAUCUCCUAUUUUUACAUCUUUAAUUUUUCUUAAUUUUUUUGUUUCUUUGUUUUUUGUACUUUCUCUACUGUCUUCCCACUUACGGGUCUCCCCAAAAUCAUUUUUUCUCUUUUCUCCUGCCAGUAACCAACUUCUUUAGAUUCCUCUUUCUUGUUUCCUAAGAUCUAAUAACUCUAUAUCCUUACCUCCUACCUCCUUAACAUCACAUCCUACACCCCACCCCUGAUUCUCUCUUUGCCCACUAUCAGAAACUGUAGACUCUUUGCAAACCUACUGUUUAUAUUGUAGAUAAUAAGUGAGAUCACCAUUUCUGUAUAUUGUGCAAAACCAUAAACAUCUUAAGAGCAGAUAUUUGGUUUCAAGCUGUAUAUUAUUUGUAUUGGGAUCUGUUAAUAUUGUUCUCCCCUCUUAAAGGAGAGGUAUUGGAACCUUGCAGGGACACUACAAGCCUAUAGGGUAAAAACUGUAAUGCCUCAGAGCCACAGUGCUAGAAGGAAAGACACAUGAACAACAUAAAAAACACAAGGGAAGAAAGCGCCCCAAAC